GGACUACUCGGGUAUCUAAUCCUGUUUGAUCCCCAUGCUUUCGUACCUCAACGUCAGUUGUGAUCUAGAUAAUUGCUUUCGCCGACGGUGUUCCUUUUAGUAUUGACAUUUCAUUGUUUCUCUAAAAAUUCCAUUAUCUUUUAUCAAACUCUAGUAUAAGGCAUUCUACACAAUCCCUAAUGUUCUUAGGACUUUUAGUUGUAGCGUUCUUAUACAGUCUACGUACCCUUUACGCCCAAUAAAUAUGAAGUACACUUGCCCCUCCCGUAUUACCGCGGCGGCUGGCAC
rnacentral:rRNA from 1 species